rnacentral:rRNA from 1 species
AUUGAACGCUGGCGGCAGGCCUAACACAUGCAAGUCGAGCGGAUGAAGGGAGCUUGCUCCUGGAUUCAGCGGCGGACGGGUGAGUAAUGCCUAGGAAUCUGCCUGGUAGUGGGGGAUAACGUCCGGAAACGGGCGCUACUACCGCAUACGUCCUGAGGCAGAAAGUGGGGGAUCUUCGGACCUCACGCUAUCAGAUGAGCCUAGGUCGGAUUAGCUAGUUGGUGGGGUAAAGGCCUACCAAGGCGACGAUCCGUAACUGGUCUGAGAGGAUGAUCAGUCACACGGGAGCUGGGACAGGGUCCAUACUCCUACGGGAGGCAGCAGUGGGGAAUGUUAGACAGUGGGCGAGAGCCUGGUCCAGCGAGGCCGCGUGUGUGGAGAAGGUCUUCGGAGUGUAAAGCACGUUAAGUUGGGAGGAAGGGCAGUAAGUUAAUACCUUGCUGGUUUGACGUUACCAACAGAAUAAGCACCGGCUAACUACGUG